CCUACGGGAGGCAGCAGUGAGGAAUAUUGGACAAUGGGCGCAAGCCUGAUCCAGCCAUGCCGCGUGCAGGAAGACGGUCCUAUGGAUUGUAAACUGCUUUUGUACAGGAAGAAACACUCCCUCGUGAGGGAGCUUGACGGUACUGUAAGAAUAAGGAUCGGCUAACUCCGUGCCAGCAGCCGCGGUAAUACGGAGGAUCCAAGCGUUAUCCGGAAUCAUUGGGUUUAAAGGGUCCGUAGGCGGUUUAAUAAGUCAGUGGUGAAAUCUGGUCGCUCAACGAUCAAACGGCCAUUGAUACUGUUAGACUUGAAUUAUUAGGAAGUAACUAGAAUAUGUAGUGUAGCGGUGAAAUGCUUAGAUAUUACAUGGAAUACCAAUUGCGAAGGCAGGUUACUACUAAUGGAUUGACGCUGAUGGACGAAAGCGUGGGGAGCGAACAGGAUUAGAUACCCUGGUAGUCCACGCCGUAAACGAUGGAUACUAGCUGUUCGGAGCAAUCUGAGUGGCUAAGCGAAAGUGAUAAGUAUCCCACCUGGGGAGUACGUUCGCAAGAAUGAAACUCAAAUGAAAUUGAGG
rnacentral:rRNA from 1 species